AGGGUCAGAGCAACUUCUGCCCUCAUCAACUCCACAGCCUCUGGAAUUCUCCUGAGCUCCACCUCCCAGUGCCAGGAACCCUUUGCCAUCACAUCACAUUCUAGGAUUCUCCUGAGCUCCAUUUCUAAGUGCCAGGAACCCUCUGACAUCACAUCCACAGCCUCUGGGAUUCUCCUGGCCUCCAUCUCUCAGUGCCAGGAAUCCUUUGACAUCACAUCCACAGCCUCUGGGAUUCUCCUGAGCUCCACCUCCCAGUGCCAGGAACCCUUUGGCUUCACCUGCACAGCCCAAAUGGCUUUUUCUGGAGAUGAGGGACUCCAAUGGAUCUGUGGCCAGGAAAAGGGAUGGAAAGGGCCAGCUGCUUCCAGAGAGGAUGAACAGGCAGGUUCCAAGGCAGCAGCUGCUGGACAAACAACAGACCCCAACUUCAGCCCCUGGGUGCUUCCAUUGGAGGAAUGUCAUUCCCUGCUCACCAAGCACUGGAAGCUCUUGCCAAAUCAGUUGUUUGAUCCUGGGUCAGGCUUAAAUAUGGACUUCUCCAACAGCUCAAAAAGCCUUUCCCACCUGAAUUAUCACAUCUCUUUCUACUUUAGAAUGGGGGGACUCAGUCAAAGCUUGAGUAUCCUGUCCAAAUCUAUGAACAGAGGCAGGGCCAACCCCCAGAUUUCCCUUUCUUCAUUAUCAGAGACUACUAAAGCAGGAAAAAAAGCUUUUCAUUGGGAAAAAAAAGUCUGAAAAAUAUUUUUGAGAGAUAACACACUCUAAAUUGUGUAUUUUUCAAAUAAAUAAUUUUUUAUCCCCCCUUGCUAUCUCAUACCAAACUCACAAUUUUUGCCUACACACACCUUAUUUUAAGCAGAAAAGAGGAUAUUUCCCCAUUUUGUGCAGAACUGGUGGUGAGAUUUAUGCAGAAUUCCAGUGGCAGAUGUGAUGAGCACAGCAAUGAGCUCUGGUUUGAGGCUGCAGAAUGGAAACAGAGUCAGCAUUCCACAGUCCUUGGCUGGAAUGUUCUUUUGCACUUAGCAGGAAGUGAGAGCAGGUGGAUCCACAGCAGCCUGUGUAUCCCAUGGAGUGCUGAGGAUGGAAUAAUUCUGCUGAUUUUGGGGUUCCUCUCCCUGGGGUGUGUAC